GCGUGUAUGAUGAACGCCUUCGGGUUGUAAAGCUCUUUCAGUCGUGAAGAUAGAUCCUUUGCUCAUAGACUAAAUACUUGACAUUUCCGACGCAAGAAGCACCGGCUAACAACGUGCCAGCAGCCGCGGUAAUACAAA
rnacentral:rRNA from 1 species